GACGAACGCUGGCGGCGUGCCUAAUACAUGCAAGUAGAACGCACAGUAUAUACCGUAGCUUGCUACACCAUAGACUGUGAGUUGCGAACGGGUGAGUAACGCGUAGGUAACCUGCCUGGUAGCGGGGGAUAACUAUUGGAAACGAUAGCUAAUACCGCAUAAUAUUGAUUAUUGCAUGAUAAUUAAUUGAAAGAUGCAAUUGCAUCACUACCAGAUGGACCUGCGUUGUAUUAGCUAGUAGGUGAGGUAACGGCUCACCUAGGCGACGAUACAUAGCCGACCUGAGAGGGUGAUCGGCCACACUGGGACUGAGACACGGCCCAGACUCCUACGGGAGGCAGCAGUAGGGAAUCUUCGGCAAUGGACGAAAGUCUGACCGAGCAACGCCGCGUGAGUGAAGAAGGUUUUCGGAUCGUAAAGCUCUGUUGUAAGAGAAGAACGGGUGUGAGAGGGAAAGUUC
rnacentral:rRNA from 1 species